rnacentral:antisense_RNA from 1 species
AAUCCAAACCUCCCUCGCCCAACUCUGCCCGCCACAGAUGCCCCUGGGCUCCCCUCCAGACCCUGCCCCGCAUCCCCGCCAGCCUGAAGCUCCUGCGCACCUGGGCUGGGGGAGCCGGUCGGCACCCCCGGAGUCGGAGCAUCACCGCCGCUCGGAGUUGCCACAGCGACGGGAAGGAUCUCGAUAGAGACAGCAUCCCCCGGCCCCCGCAGGAUACGGAUUAACCCCUUCUCCUCCAGCUCCUCCACCUUCAGCUCCAGGGCCGAGGGCCGCGUCGGAGCAGCGGGAGGCGCUUUCUCAGGCUCUGGGGGACGCCUGGAGGCGCCCAUGGCGGUCGAUUCGCUGAAGCGCUCCUGCGAACCCCACGGGAGGGGUCAGUGCCCACCAGCAGACUGCUUGGCACCAAGCCCCCAUCCUUUUCCCGGGGUGGAGGGAGAUGUCAAGCCUAGAAGCCUCAGCUGGCCUGUUCUUGGGCGCCUGGCCCACCACCCGCCCCAGCCUCACCCGCAGGGUCUCCAACUCCUUGCGCGCCUGGCUUAGCUGUUUUUCCAGUUCUGCAAUCUUGGCCAUGGAUUCGUUCUCUGCGUCUCGAAGCCGCUCUGUCAGCUGUAGCACCAGCACAUGGUGAGCCCCGACCCGCAGCCCGGCACUGGCACCGCCGGUGAGGGGGCGGCAUCAGGCAUGCCUGCCUGGAAGACUGGGGGAGGCUCCCAGAUCCGCUCAGCCCAGGUGCCAAGGGUGGGCCGAGCCUGGCACUCGAACCCAAGCAAAUAAGGAGAGGAAACCAAGAUGGCAAAACUGACACUCAGAGAGAGGAAGAGGCCUAUCCAAGGUCACAUGGCAGGAAAUGGCAGAGACGGGACUUAAACCCAGGUCUGCCUGACCCCAGCACUCAUGCUGCUAACCACUCAGCCGUACUCUGCCGUGGGCAGGCAGUUCAGUCUGGGGGGCAGUACAGGGCUUACCUCCAAGUACAGGUCCAGGCCCAAGUGGGUGAACUCAUAUUGCAGGAAGACACGGAAGUUCAUGUUCUCCACCGAAUGUACCACAAUGUUGAUGAACUGCAUGCAGGCUACCUGGGAGCCAGGGACAUGGGCAGAUCUAUGAUCCUCUAGGUGGGGUUGCUCAAUGCCUUCCACCUCCACUUACCCCAAGCCUCCCUCCUUCUCCACAGUUCCCACUCCGCUAACUCCCAGCCUUGGCCUGCCCAACAUUUCACCUCCAUGUUCCCUCAAUCCAGCCCCAUGCCAACAUCCACCCUUCCCCUACUGACCACUCAAUCCUUACGCUUUGCGGGGGCAGAGCCCAUUGCCCAGCACCCAGGACCCUAGCUCCUCCCUGCACCCAAGAGGGCCUGGCCCAGGCCUCGGGCUGCUGGGCUCCUGAGCUCACCAUGAAGUCGAUGUUGCUGUCUUCAUUCCGGAAAUAUUCCAUCAGCUUUUCAAAGCGGUGCUGCUCUCCACACACCUGGGUAAGGGGAAUGGCUCUGAGGCCCAGUGACACACGUCCUAAGCUACCUUCUGGCUGCCACACCUGUGCUUCAACAGGCUCGUCUCCAGUUAUUUCUAAGUUGAGCCACGUCACUCUUCUGCUCAAAACCUCCACUCCCUCUCAAUCUCCCACUCCCCCUCACUUUUUCCACUCCGGCCACACUGGCAUCCUGGCACAUUCCCACCCCAGGGCCUUUGCACUUGCUGUUCCAACUCCCUGGAGUGCCCUCACUCCCACACCAAGUCCCUUGCUUCCUUCACAGCUUUGCUGAAAUCUCACUUGCUCAGUGAGGCCUUCCCUGACCACCCUGCAACCAAUUCCCCCUCCCUCUGCAACAUUGCUGGCUUUUUUCUCACAGCAUUUAUCAUUUCCUAACAUACUAUGUAAUUUGCUCGUUUAUUAUAUCAUUUCUGUCUUUCCCUAUACGGUUUCCUUUGUUCACUGAUGUGCCCAAGUGCCCUGUUCCUGACACAUAGUAGGCACUCAAUAAAUAUUCAUUAAAGGAAUG